AUGCUGAGAAAGGACAGGCGAAACCCAGGACCACCAACGGGAAAUUGGCAAUCCGAGGGACGCUGUCAAUGGGCCGCCAUGGUUCGACAAUACACAGACAGCGGGGGUCGUGGAUUCAGGGGCUGCCAGGUGACCUUUUCUGAUCCCAGUGGUGCCUCCAGAGUGCGGACCCUUGCCAGGGCACCUGGGAAUUACCUUGACGGCGGCGUAGUCAACGGCUGUCACCGAGCUCUUGUCUGUUUGAUGUCACCUCUGACACUGGCCUCUGUAGCAGUCGCGAGGAUACAAAGCGAUGCGUCGAUGGCCAGCCAUGGGAAAAAGCUGUCGGCAAGGUGGCUCAGCUGGCAGUGCCCAGGGCUCCCAUGGGGCAGAGAGUUGCCUGAAGUGGAGAGUUGA
rnacentral:lncRNA from 1 species